rnacentral:rRNA from 1 species
GAUGAACGCUAGCGGCAGGCCUAAUACAUGCAAGUCGAGCGGCAAGUUGAGAAGCAAUUCGAGACCUAGAGCGGCGUACGGGUGCGUAACGCGUAUCCAACCUACUCCAUACAGGGGGAUAGCCGGGAGAAAUCGGGAUAAAUCCCCCAUGGACCAGCGCGGGGGAAUCGGGGUGUUGUUAAAGAUUAAUCGGAAUGAGAUGGGCAUGCGUCUGUUUAGCUGGUUGGCGGUGUAAGGGACCACCAAGGCGACGAUCAGUAGGGGUUCUGAGAGGAAGGUCCCCCACACUGGCACUGAGCUACGGGCCAGACUCCUACGGGAGGCAGCAGUAGGGAAUAUUGGGCAAUGGUCGGAAGACUGACCCAGCCAUGCCGCGUGCAGGAAGAAGGCGUUCUGCGUUGUAAACUGCUUUUAUCUGGGAAGAAGAGGCCCAUGCGUGGGACAUUGCCGGUACCAGAUGGAUAAGCACCGGCUAACUCCGUGCCAGCCGCCGCGGUAAUAC